UAACCUCACCCUUAUAGAACCUCCUCUGAACUUCUAAUUCUCUUUCUUUAGGACCCUUACAAUCCUUGUUAGGAUCAGAUAAGACUUUGUCUUAAAUCCCAAGCCUUGUCCUAAAACUAAGAUAGUUUGUAAGAAAGAAAGGAGAGCAACAGGAGAGAAAUUGGAAACCCCUCUUAGAUUCAUCGGAUACCCAGUGCCCCGACCUAUUUAUAGCCACC
rnacentral:lncRNA from 1 species